AUUUCCUCUAAGAAUUCUGUCAUCAAGUAAAAAUACCUGUUCUUAUCAGCUUAAUAUCUACUACAUCCUGCAACACAGGACUAGAAUACCGAACUCAUUUUUGGCCAUUGAUGGAGUACUAAGAGAAUGCUCUACUUUUUCACAGGAUGCCUCCUCAGUUUCAAACUCUCAUAAGCUACCCAAAUUCUU